AUCAAACGAUGGGGCAGAGAAAAUGUUUUUCUGUAAAACAGAAAAAACAUUUCCUUGGUACCCUUGAGUGUGCUAUGAACUGAUCCAAAUGAACGAGAGCGACACAAAACUGAUUAACAUUUCGUUAUUGCCUUUCAGCCCGGACAAGCAUGCUUCGACGACGACGAUGCGCUGUGCUUCUUGAAGAAAUGUGGAAAGAAAUACAGCGAGAUAAAAGCGCUGUCCCGUCGUAACUGGAACCUACCAGACAGCCAUUACGACGAAAUGGAUGCCUGUGCUAAAUAUCCAUGACAUGACGUUCAUCUGCUCCAGAUUACCUGGUCGUGUCGUGCUUGGUACUUCGAUUCGACUAAGUGGCUGCUGCCGCUGUCUUGUGUUCAAUAUUGCUGUUCAAUAUGUCACUCUAUAACAGAUUGAUGCUCAUUUGCCA